AUUGAACGCUGGCGGCAUGCCUUACACAUGCAAGUCGAACGGUAACAGGUCUUCGGAUGCUGACGAGUGGCGAACGGGUGAGUAAUACAUCGGAACGUGCCCGAUCGUGGGGGAUAACGAAGUGAAAGCUUUGCUAAUACCGCAUACGAUCUACGGAUGAAAGCAGGGGACCGCAAGGCCUUGCGCGAACGGAGCGGCCGAUGGCAGAUUAGGUAGUUGGUGGGAUAAAAGCUUACCAAGCCGACGAUCUGUAGCUGGUCUGAGAGGACGACCAGCCACACUGGGACUGAGACACGGCCCAGACUCCUACGGGAGGCAGCAGUGGGGAAUUUUGGACAAUGGGCGAAAGCCUGAUCCAGCCAUGCCGCGUGCAGGAUGAAGGCCUUCGGGUUGUAAACUGCUUUUGUACGGAACGAAAAGACUCUGGUUAAUACCUGGGGUCCAUGACGGUACCGUAAGAAUAAGCACCGGCUAACUACGUGCCAGCAGCCGCGGUAAUACGUAGGGUGCAAGCGUUAAUCGGAAUUACUGGGCGUAAAGCGUGCGCAGGCGGUUAUAUAAGACAGAUGUGAAAUCCCCGGGCUCAACCUGGGAACUGCAUUUGUGACUGUAUAGCUAGAGUACGGCAGAGGGGGAUGGAAUUCCGCGUGUAGCAGUGAAAUGCGUAGAUAUGCGGAGGAACACCGAUGGCGAAGGCAAUUCCCUGGGCCUGUACUGACGCUCAUGCACGAAAGCGUGGGGAGCAAACAGG
rnacentral:rRNA from 1 species